rnacentral:rRNA from 1 species
CAGUCGCCACGGUAACACGGAGGGUGCAAGCGUUAAUCGGAAUUACUGGGCGUAAAGCGUGCGUAGGCGGUUCGUUAAGUCUGUUGUGAAAGCCCCGGGCUCAACCUGGGAAUGGCAAUGGAUACUGGCGAGCUAGAGUGUGUCAGAGGAUGGUGGAAUUCCCGGUGUAGCGGUGAAAUGCGUAGAGAUCGGGAGGAACAUCAGUGGCGAAGGCGGCCAUCUGGGACAACACUGACGCUGAGGCACGAAAGCGUGGGGAGCAAACAGGAUUAGAUACCCCCGUAGUCCCUGUCUCUUAUAA